rnacentral:misc_RNA from 1 species
GGCACAGUGUUCGAGCCCGCUACUGUAGGUUGAGGUUUAGAUUCUCCUUGAAUGAGUAUCUAAUGUGUGAGUGUGUUGCUUAUGAAAUUUGGGCAUUUUGCCUCAUUAGGAUGGAGUUGGGACUAAAAUGACUGUNGACUGUUAAAGGCUUAAAUGAAUAUUAAACCUUACUGAUCGAUGUAUUGAAAAGUAGCCCUGUUUGAAAUUUGAAUAAUCUCAAUGGAUUGUAACUCAACAUAAGCC